GCGUAGUAAGCAGGCGGAAUUCGUGGUGUAGCGGUGAAAUGCUUAGAUAUCACGAAGAACUCCGAUAGCGCAGGCAGCUUGCUGCAUCGCAACUGACGCUGAUGCUCGAAAGCGUGGGUAUCAAACAGGAUUAGAUACCCUGGUAGUCCACGCGGUAAACGAUGGAUGCUCGUUGUCAGGCCUUUGGGUUUGGUGACCAAGUGAAAACGUUAAGCAUCCCACCUGGGGAGUACGCCGGCAACGGUGAAACUCAAAGGAAUUGACGGGGGCCCGCACAAGCGGAGGAACAUGUGGUUUAAUUCGAUGAUACGCGAGGAACCUUACCCGGGCUUGAACUGCGGCGGAACGAUUCAGAGAUGAUGAGGUCCUUCGGGACUGCCGCGGAGGUGCUGCAUGGUUGUCGUCAGCUCGUGCCGUGAGGUGUCGGCUUAAGUGCCAUAACGAGCGCAACCCCUUUUCUUAGUUGCCAUCGGGUAAUGCCGGGCACUCUGGGAAUACUGCCACCGUAAGGUGUGAGGAAGGUGGGGAUGACGUCAAAUCAGCACGGCCCUUACGUCCGGGGCUACACACGUGUUACAAUGGCGCAUACAGAUAGUUGGUUGUGUGCAAACAUGAUCUAAUCUUUAAAGUGCGUCUCAGUUCGGACUGGGGUCUGCAACCCGACCCCACGAAGCUGGAUUCGCUAGUAAUCGCGCAUCAGCCAUGGCGCGGUGAAUACGUUCCCGGGCCUUGUACACACCGCCCGUCAAGCCAUGAAAGCCGGGGGCGCCUGAAGUCCGUGACCGCGAGGGUCGGCCUAGGGUGAAACCGGUGAUUGGGGCUAAGUCGUAACAAGGUAGCCGUACCGGAAGGUGCGGCUGGAACACCUCCUUU
rnacentral:ncRNA from 1 species